rnacentral:rRNA from 1 species
UACGUAGGGUGCAAGCGUUGUCCGGAAUUAUUGGGCGUAAAGAGCUCGUAGGCGGUCUGUCACGUCUGCUGUGAAAACUCGGGGCUUAACCCCGGGCCUGCAGUGGGUACGGGCAGACUAGAGUGCGGUAGGGGAGACUGGAAUUCCUGGUGUAGCGGUGAAAUGCGCAGAUAUCAGGAGGAACACCGGUGGCGAAGGCGGGUCUCUGGGCUGACACUGACGCUCAUGCACGAAAGCGUGGGGAGCAAACAGG